GACGAACGCUGGCGGCGCGCUUAACACAUGCAAGUCGAGCGAGAACCAGGGCUUCGGCUCUGGGGAAAGCGGCGAACGGGUGAGUAACACGUGAGUCAUCCACCCUCGGCACCGGGAUAGCCCGGGGAAACCCGGAUUAAUACCGGAUGGCCCGUCUGCCCUUCGGGGCGGCCGGAAAAGGUAGCUUCGGCCUCCGGCCGAGUACGAGCUCGCGGCGGAUUAGCUUGUUGGCGGGGUAACGGCCCACCGAGGCGACGAUCCGUAGCUGGUCUGAGAGGACGAUCAGCCACACUGGGACUGAGACACGGCCCAGACUCCUACGGGAGGCAGCAGUGGGGAAUCUUGCGCAAUGGGCGAAAGCCUGACGCAGCGACGCCGCGUGCGGGAAGAAGGCCUUCGGGUUGUAAACCGCUUUCAGGAGGGACGAAGCCACUCGGGUGAAUAGCCCAGAGGGUGACGGUACCUCCAGAAGAAGCCCCGGCUAACUACGUGCCAGCAGCCGCGGUAACAC
rnacentral:rRNA from 1 species